GGCCGCUCUGGUGGCCUAAUGGUUAGAGCGUCCGCCUCGGAUGCGGGAGGUCGCAGGUUCGAACCCCGGCCGAGUCA